AUGUUCUUCCCCGGGCUCUCGCGCCAGCACGGUGCUCCCGAAGCCUCUCCGUACGACGACGACAGAGACCACAGCCUGGUGGUGCUCCUCACCUUCGCCAUCUUCUUCUCCUUCGUCGUUCUCUACCUCAUCGCCGGCGUCCUCUGGGCCUCGGUGAUCACCGCCUUGGCCGUCGCGGUCUCGUUCUGCUACAUCAGCGCCCGCCGGCAUGCUGCGCUGAGGCGCGGCCAGGUCGUCGUUGUCAGUUUGCACUCGCACUCGACGUGCCCUAUCUGCCGUGCUGUGGUCGUCGAGCUCACCGUCGGGCUGUCGUCCGAGCCGCCUCCCGUUUGA
rnacentral:rRNA from 1 species